ACGGGAGGCAGCAGUGGGGAAUAUUGGGCAAUGGGGGAAACCCUGACCCAGCAACGCCGCGUGAAGGAAGAAGGCUUUCGGGUUGUAAACUUCUUUUACCAGGGACGAAGAAAGUGACGGUACCUGGAGAAAAAGCCACGGCUAACUACGUGCCAGCAGCCGCGGUAAUACGUAGGUGGCAAGCGUUGUCCGGAUUUACUGGGUGUAAAGGGCGCGUAGGCGGCCUGUUAAGUCUGGAGUGAAAGUCCUGCUUUUAAGGUGGGAAUUGCUUUGGAUACUGAUGGGCUUGAGUGCAGGAGAGGUAAGUGGAAUUCCCAGUGUAGCGGUGAAAUGCGUAGAGAUUGGGAGGAACACCAGUGGCGAAGGCGACUUACUGGACUGUAACUGACGCUGAGGCGCGAAAGUGUGGGGAGCAAACAGGAUUAGAUACCCUGGUA
rnacentral:rRNA from 1 species